rnacentral:rRNA from 1 species
UACAGAGGGGGCAAGCGUUGUUCGGAAUUACUGGGCGUAAAGGGCGCGUAGGCGGCCUUCUAAGUCGAACGUGAAAUCCCUGGGCUCAACCCAGGAACUGCGUCCGAUACUGGAAGGCUUGAAUCCGGGAGAGGGAUGCGGAAUUCCAGGUGUAGCGGUGAAAUGCGCAGAUAUCAGGAAGAACACCAAUGGCGAAAGCAGCUUUCUGGGACGGUACUGACGCUGAGACGCGAAAGCGUGGGGAGCGAACAGG